UUUACUUUUUUAUAGUUGCUUCAGAAAACAGUUAUAGAAGAGUUUUGUGCUUUCGGCAGGCCUAAAAAGCCCCCCCUGGGGCCGGCCCACCGAGGCAACUGUAACAAAAACACACUGGUUUGGAGUUUUUCAACCCUGUAAUGAUCCCUCCGCUGGUUCACCAACGGAGA
rnacentral:misc_RNA from 1 species